CCCUUAGAUGUUCUGGGCCGCACGCGUGCUACACUGGUGCAUUCAACGAGUCUAAAACCUGGUCUGAUAGGGCUGGGUAAUCUUUUGAAAGUGCAUCGUGAUUGGGAUAGAUGAUUGCAAUUCUUCAUCUUCAACGAGGAAUGCCUAGUAAACGCAAGUCAUCAGCUUGCAUUGAUUACGUCCCUGCCCUUUGUACACACCGCCCGUCGCUCCUACCGAUUGAAUGAUCCGAUGAAUACCAUGGAUUGAGAGUACGAAUAGGUUCGCUUAUUUCUGCUGCUCGAGAAGUGGAGUAAAUCUUAUCAUUUAGAGGAAGGAGAAGUCGUAACA
rnacentral:rRNA from 1 species